CCUUACAAAAAUGAUCAAUGAGUUUCUAUCGAGUUUUUAAUGCAUUUUAGAAGCAUACAUUAGAAACUCAAUUGACACUCAUUGGUCAUUUUGUAA
rnacentral:pre_miRNA from 1 species